rnacentral:tRNA from 1 species
GACUCAAUGGCCUGAUAGUAAGGCAUUCGUCGCGGAUCCAGAGGGUCCUGGGUUCGAUCCCCGAUGGAGUAG